ensembl:antisense Gm17098 predicted gene 17098
CGGGCUCGAUCAGAGACGGGGGCGGAGCAAAGCCCGGGAGGCGGGGCCUCGAGCUGCUCCACAGCAAGGCAGGACUGGGCGGGGGCGGAGCUCGAAAGACAGAGCCUGUAUCGCACAACGGUCAGUCGCAGAGGGGUGUCCAGGCGGAUCUCGGGAGGUAGUUCCAGGAGGUGCUCCAGGCGCUGAGAGCGAAUGGCGGUGCAUGAUUCGGGAAGCUGUUUCUUGAGAGGCUCAGAGUACUGUUAGAACCUGUGCAGCGGCAUCGAGAAGCUUGGUACGCUGUCAGAGAGGCGGUUCCUCGAGGGGCUCCACGUGCUGUCAGAACCGGGGCGGCCUCUAGUGUCUCUGCGUGCGUACAGCGCAGGGGACAGGGCCUCGAGGGGCUUCACAAGCGGUCAGAGCGGAGGUGCAGCCUGGAAGGAUUCGGUGUGCGGGCAGGCUGGGCAGCAACGCGGCCUCCUGGGACUCCACGUGCCGUCAGACUGCGGGGCGGGGCCUUGAGGGCUGGGCAGUUCUUCAGAGCACUCGGGGUGCUGAGAAUGGAAAGGGGUCCUUCAAGGUUUCUUCUCUAGGUUUCUUGGGGCAAUGAAAGUUGCCCGCCGAACUGGGCGGGCGCCUAGACCUCCGAGAGGCAAAG